rnacentral:rRNA from 1 species
UACGUAGGGUGCGAGCGUUAAUCGGAAUUACUGGGCGUAAAGCGUGCGCAGGCGGUUCGUUGUGUCGGCGGUGAAAGCCCCGGGCUCAACCUGGGAAUGGCCGUUGAAACUGGCGAACUGGAGUGUGGCAGGAGGGGGGUGGAAUUCCGCGUGUAGCAGUGAAAUGCGUAGAGAUGCGGAGGAACACCGAUGGCGAAGGCAGCCCCCUGGGCUAACACUGACGCUCAGGCACGAAAGCGUGGGGAGCAAACAGG